rnacentral:tRNA from 1 species
GGGGAUGUAGCUCAGAGGUAGAGUACUUGCCUAGUGCAAGGAUCUGGGUUCAAUACCCAGUACCAACA